CGCGCGCCGCCCGGCCGGGGGCGUCCCCGAGAGUGGACGCAGAGCUGAGGCGCGGAGGCCCAGGCUUAAGGCCAACACGCCGAUUUGGGCCUGGACACCGCCGUUUGUGGGAGAGGGAAAGAGACGGGCGUCGAGAGGCGGUGAUUUCGGGGUCGCCUUUCCCGCAAGCACAGGCAGUCCCACUGCUGCAGGCGAGGCACACUCACUGCCCGCCGUGCAAAACCCAGGGCCCGUUCUGAGUGUAUCCUGGGAACAGGCCGUUCCACGAUUUUGGAGUGGGAACUUCAAACGAAGUUGGUAAGGGAGGCAAAUGCGUAAGUGGAAACUUUGAGGAAACUGGCAGCCAGCGCCUGGAAACCAGACAGCCCUUCGCGCUCUGCUCCACCACCUUCUGCCCGCCAGUACAAAGCGGGGCUGGUGCGCCUGUGAGUCAGAGCCCUGCUCUCAGGAACUGGGCCCGGAGAGAUUCCCAGCAUCUGUUUCCUCAACUAUCACCCGGAGGAUACUGGUGCUAAAUCACAGCGAAUAAAAAUAGCCUCAGAGACGGGACUUUCAAACAAAUAAG
rnacentral:lncRNA from 1 species